rnacentral:tRNA from 1 species
ACUUUCUUAGUAUAAAAAGUACAUGUGACUUCCAAUCACUCAGCCUUAGUUAAAUCCUAGGAGAAAGUA